ensembl:scaRNA
CUGCAGAUGAUGACAUGACCACUGUGCAAUCUCAGUCCUGGGAAGCAGGUGGUGGAGAUUGCCGAGCACAGACUAAGGCUG